UGUAAAGCCAUCUUUCCAGAGACGAGGCCUGUUUCUAAGUAUGAAAAGCAGAGUCCAGACAUCUUGCUGGGAUUGAGAAUCUAUAAACUCUUUAUCAGUUUUCUAUACUUGGAAUGCAGCAAUUAUGAAGGACAAAGCUACUGUGCAAGCAGCCUGGAUAUUGGAAAGUGGUAACACGAAUGAAUUACAAUACCUGAACUUUCCACAUGAUAGAAUCAUUAAAAUUGCAACCCUGCAUCUAAUUACAAUGCUGUCUCUCCCUUCGAUAAUCCCAAGGUGUGUUUCUAUAUCUCUUAGUACAACAUAAAUUUAUAAACACAAAUGAGAAAAAGUUGUGGCGAUAGAUGAGUACGUAGGCACAGAAGACUACGUGACAGGCAACUCAGACUUCAACAGGGCAAUCAAG